rnacentral:misc_RNA from 1 species
CCCUGACCACGAAAACUACACUUACAGACCCGCCCGAGCUAUGGCUCUACGCGAGAUCGCAGAAAAAAUGGGUGUUGGAUGGACAGAUCAGACUACCAGUUAAAACAUCAUUUCAGGUGUCCUUGAAACUCACACUUCUCUAGUUAAACUGUAUAGCUCUAGAAAUCAACCUGAGCUCUCAUGGCAUUCAAAGAGAAAACAGUUCAGCUCUCACCAAGCAAAUCAAGGACAAAGCUUCAGCAGUCUUGCAUCUUGAAGAUAACUAAUCACAGUUAAUUUGAUCCCUCUAUCCUAGUCUCUCUACCAGUGAGGAUUUGAUCAUUUAUAGGACUUGGUGAAAAAGAAAUGGAAUGUCCUGAAGUCUGCAUACAACCGAGAACUGAAGAGACUGAUUGAAUUAUCUAAAAUUAGCUCAG